AGAAAGUUAGUCUAAUUAAGACAGUUGAUUUCGACUCAACAGACCAUAGUCCCACCCUAUGACUUUCUC
rnacentral:tRNA from 1 species